AAGCGAUAUUUAAGGUUUAUAAACUGGGAUUUCUAGGAAAAUAAGCGAUAUUUUAGGGGAAAAACAGGGAUUUCUAUGAAAAUAACCGAUAUUUAAGGGUUAAAAACAGGGAUUUCUAUGAAAAUAAGCGAUAUUUAAGGUUAAAAACAGGGAUUUCUAUGAAAAUAAGCGAUAUUUAAAGUUAAAAACAGGGAUUUCUAUGAAAAUAAGCGAUAUUUAAGGUUAAAAACAGGGAUUUCUAUGAAAAUAAGCGAUAUUUUAGGGGAAAAACAGGGAUUUCUGUGAAAAUAAGCAAUAUUUUAGG